CCAUCAAUUCUUUACCCUGUUACAUUGUAGAAUGCUUGUUAUUCCUUUGUAUUCUCAAUGUACAAGGUAUUAAGAAUUGGAG
rnacentral:pre_miRNA from 1 species